CAGGUGUGGGCCCAGGCUCUGGAAAACCAGGCAAAGGUUAUGGAGCAGCUGGGGGUCUAGGUGGCCCGGGCGGCUAUGGUGGACAACCAGGUGGCGGUUAUGGUGCUGGACCAGGAGGGUAUGGCACUGGACCUGGCAGAUAUGGUGCUGGACCGGGAGGCUAUGGUGCUGGGCCUGGUGGUUAUGGAACUGGACCUGGUGGUCAAGGGGGCCCAGGUGGUGUUGGUGCUGGACCAGGUGGUGUCGGUACUGGCCAAGGUGGUGUCGGUACUGGACCAGGUGGUGUCGGUGCUGGACCAGGUGGUGUCGGUACUGGCCAAGGUGGUGUCGGUACUGGACCAGGUGGUGUCGGUGCUGGCCAAGGUGGUGUCGGCACCGGACCAGGAGGCUAUGGUGCUGGACCAGGAGGCUAUGGCGCUGGACCAGGAGGCUAUGGCGCUGGACCAGGAGGCUAUGGUGCUGGACCAGGAGGCUAUGGUGCUGGACCAGGAGGCUAUGGUGCAGGGCCUGGAGGCUAUGGCACUGGAGCUGGGGGUAAGAGUUUAGAUUUGCUUUUUCUCAACUAAUGUGGAUUCUUUGUCACUGUUAUACCCACCAAAGAUGAUUCUAUGACAGGAAUUAAAUAUUUGUACUCAUUUCCAGGUCAAGGAUAUGGCCCAGGAGCAAGGAAGCCACCCAAAAGUAUGGCAAUGGUUUUAUCUUGUUUUAAUAUAAUGAAUUAAUAACUGAAGCUCAUCUCACAGACAGUUUGCUUUAAUGUACUUCUAGGCUACGGAGGUGCUGGACCAGGUGGGGUAGGUGGAGGUCCUGGCGGAUAUGGUGGAGCACUUGGCGGAGUUGGGGGUGGACCAGGAGGAGCUGGCACAGGUCCUGGGGGAGUUGGUGGAGGUCCGGGAGGAAUCGGCCGUGGGCCUGGUGGGGUUGGUGGUGGACAGGGUGGAUUUGGAGGGGGUCCUGGAGGAGUUGGUGGAGGACCUGGUGGAUACGGUGCAGGACCGGGAGGAGUUGGUGGAGGACCCGGUGGAUACGGUGCAGGACCGGGAGGAGUUGGUGGAGGACCCGGU
ensembl:lncRNA